GACGUAGGGUGCAAGCGUUGUCCGGAUUUACUGGGCGUAAAGGGCGCGUAGGCGGCCACCGCAAGUCGACUGUGAAAUCUCCGGGCUUAACUCGGAAAGGUCAGCCGAUACUGCGGGGCUAGAGUGCAGAAGGGGCAACUGGAAUUCUCGGUGUAGCGGUGAAAUGCGUAGAUAUCGAGAGGAACACCUGCGGCGAAGGCGGGUUGCUGGGCUGACACUGACGCUGAUUGUGCGAAAGCUAGGGGAGCGAACGGG
rnacentral:rRNA from 1 species